UACGAAGGGGGCUAGCGUUGCUCGGAAUCACUGGGCGUAAAGCGCACGUAGGCGGGUUGUUAAAGUCGGGGGGUGAAAUCCUGGAGCUCAACUCCAGAACUGCCUUCGAUACUGGCGACCUUGAGUCCGGGAGAGGUGGGUGGAAUUCCUAGUGUAGAGGUGAAAUUCGUAGAUAUUAGGAAGAACACCGGUGGCGAAGGCGGCCCGACUGGUC
rnacentral:rRNA from 1 species